CGCUAUCACUCCUACGGGAGGCAGCAGUGGGGAAUAUUGCACAAUGGGGGAAACCCUGAUGCAGCCAUGCCGCGUGUGUGAAGAAGGCCUUCGGGUUGUAAAGCACUUUCAGUAGGGAGGAAGGUAGUGUAGUUAACACCUGCAUUAUUUGACGUUACCUACAGAAGAAGCACCGGCUAACUCCGUGCCAGCAGCCGCGGUAAUACGGAGGGUGCGAGCGUUAAUCGGAAUUACUGGGCGUAAAGCGCAUGCAGGCGGCCUGUUAAGUCAGAUGUGAAAGCCCGGGGCUUAACCUCGGAAUUGCAUUUGAAACUGGCAGGCUAGAGUCUUGUAGAGGGGGUAGAAUUUCAGGUGUAGCGGUGAAAUGCGUAGAGAUCUGAAGGAAUACCAGUGGCGAAGGCGGCCCCCCUGGACAAAGACUGACGCUCAGAUGCGAAAGCGUGGGGAGCAAACAGGAUUAGAUACCCUGGUAG
rnacentral:rRNA from 1 species